AUGGCCGCGCAGGUGACGGAGUUCGUCGGCGGCGGCGGUGGCGUGGCACUGGGGGUGGCCGUGCACCAUACGGCGGCGGACGGACGCGGCAUUUGGCGGUUCUUUGAGAUGUGGGCGGCGGCAGCGGCCGGUGUUGAGGUUGACCGGGUACCCGCCGGGUCGACUCCGCUGCAUGACCGGAGGCUGGUGCGGUUCCACGGCGACAAAGAGCUCGCCCGGCUGUUCUUGCGGCAAAUCGCCCCGAACUUGCCCACGGUCACAGAUCCCGCGCUCGACGCCCGGCGUCGUCUCAGCCGGCGAACCUUCACCUUCGCCGCGCCCGCGGUGCAGCGUCUCAAGCAGAGGCUCGCGUUCGCGGCGAACAUCGGCACGGCGCCGUCCACCUUCGCCGCCCUGGCGGUGCACGGGUGGGUGUCCAUCGCGCGCGCCAGCGGCUUCGCCGACGACGCGCCGGUGUUCGCCGCCUUCCUCGCGGACUGCCGCGCGUACAUGUCGCCCCCGGCGCCGGACGCCUACGCAGGCAACUGCGUCGCGCUCUGCAUGGCCUCGCUGAGCGGGUCGGAGCUCGCGGGGCCUGACGGGCCCGCCCGGGCACUCGUGGCCGUCAGGGAGGCCGUCGCGGAGGCGAAGCGCGACCCGCUCCGCGACCUCGCCCGGUGGCGCACCAAGUUCGCGGUCAUCCUGGCGGGGUCGCCCUGGUUCCCCUCGUACGGGGUGGACUUCGGGUUCGGGAGGCCGGCGAGGGUGGAGCUGGCGUCCAUGAACCACGACGGCGAGGUGGUGCUCGUCGCCGGGAGGGAGGCCGGCUCGGUGCAGGCGUCGGUGUCGAUUGCCGCGGGGAAGAUGCAGGCGUUCCGCGACGUGUUCAUGGCGGAAUGA
rnacentral:rRNA from 1 species